UGAAGAUCUUGCCAUGUCUUUGCACAAGCACCAACUCAACUCAUCACUUUUGCUUCUCCACUUCUUCUCUUCAAGUUAACACUCCCCCUCAAGCUUGACUCUAGCUGAUCCUAAGUCAAGCUUGGAACCUUGAAGAACUUCCUCAUUAAAAACCUCACCAAGGAAAACCCUUUGGGACAAAACCUUGAUGAGGGAAAAAGAGUAAAGUCUCCAAGGCCUAGGGAUUGGCCAGUGAGUCUUUGUGCCUUACCAACAAUGUAAGGGACACAAAGACUCUAGAUCAUGGCCUCUACAAUCAUCCCACGCCUUGUACUCUCCUUACUGCCUAAUCUUGGUCUCUCCCCCUUUCACCUAACCUCUUGUUAGGUUGAAGUGCUCGGACACACCAGAUCAGCCUCUUCUUGGAGAUACAACUUCUCUUACUGAGUCUUGGCUGCUUCUUCUUCUUAUAGAGUCGCCACCUUGUUGCUUGAGCUACAUGAGGAUGCUUCAGCCACUCUCCAAUCACCUCAACACUUGAAGCCGCCUUGGAUAUUGCUUCUUCAUCCUUCAUCAUACUUCUCAACAGGUUGCUUCCUCUUCUAGAAUAACCACCAAGCUCUCUUGGAUCAUGUAAGCUUCAACACUCCCCCUCAAGCUUGAGACUCUCACAGGAACAAGCUUGAAUGGAUUGCUUCAUGAUCCUCACACACACACCAUUGCCGCUUCUCUUCUGAUCUUGCCAUCUUUAUGGAAUGCUUGUGGAAGCUUUUGCUAUCUCUCCAAUCACUUCACACUAGAAGCCGCCUUGAUAGAGUUGCCUUCAUCUUCUCACAGCCAAGAGUACUCUGUCUUAGUUUGAGUACUCUCUUGAAUAGACUCGCCACAGCCUAAGCCCGGAUGGCUCCUUCUUCAGAUGGUUGCAAUGGACUUCUUGGAUCGGUUGGAAGCUCACUAAACUCCCCUCCUCAAGCUUGGAUUGAGUAUAGGUCCAAGCUUGCAAGUGAGCUUCAGUGACACUUCACACCAGUGGCGCAUCACCACUUCUCUCUCAACUCUCCAUUGCUCCACACAAUGGGCAAAGUCUUCCUCUUUCAACUCGGAUGGAUGGUGAACCAAGAACACCUCUUGUGAACCUGAAACAUCACUCAAACUCCAGCAAAGAUAAGACACAAGUGCAUUGGGUCAACCCUUGAUGCAUCAUCAAGUUUGAACACCAAUGUCUUUAAGCAAUGCAACAGAUUAAACUAGACAUUUUCAAGUUCUAAUCUUUGCAAGCAAACUCUCUAAGCACUAGCAUGAUCCUAACAGAUUCAAUACAAGCUACUUAGGCAAUUUUAAAGCUUCUUUAUUCAGCAUUUAGACAUGAAUCUAAUGCUUCAAUGUAAGACAGCCAUUUGACAGUAUGCACUAACCUUAAUCAGUUUUAAUUCAUGAAUGCAACAAUACAAUCCAUCACACAUUCAUUUAUAACUUAGGCUAAGCAUUACUAUCAUCACUUAACAUCAGACAAUGCAUUACUUUCAAUCUGUUUUCAGUUCAUGAGCUUCAAACAAUAUCAUUUCACAUUUAGCAAACUCAUUACUUAACAGGAGCAAGCAUUUUACUCUUUAAACACUAAACAAGCCUUUAAAGCAUCCUGGGAUAGAUUCAACUAAUUAUAUUUAGCAAUCACACAUUAUCCUCAGGUUUUUUUCAAUCAAUACACAUCACAAUAACCAGGCAACAACACAACACAAGCUCAAUAUCAAGAAGGUUUUAAAGAAUCGCUUACACAAGGAACCAGGUUGGUUCCUUAAGCCUCCAAAGGCAAUCUGGCCAUGAUAUGGUUGGAUUCAAGAGUCUAGGUCGUCACCCAACUCCUUCUCCUUCAGUUCAUGGCCUCCUUCUUGUUUCUCACACCCAAAGACCCCUCCUUUCUUCAUACUUCAAACCGGCUUCUCUUAGCUUCAUCUUUCUUGUAUCCGGAUGUGAUAAGCUCUUGGACAAGGAGCUUUGGCUUGAGGUUCAUGACGCCUCUCCAUCCUCCUCUGCUUCCAAAGAGACACUCUCCAUCAGGUAAAGACAGGCACGGUUGAGAGAUAAGGAGAACACUCCAUGCUUCAAGCUUCUUUCUUCUUCAAGAACUGAACUCGGCUGGUAAUGUCUUCAAGGGUUUGGUUUGAGCUGAGAUGAGAGCUGUGGAUUUGCGAAAGCUCAGCUCAGGUUCUGAUGAACCUGGCUCUGAUACCAUAUGAGAUUUGAGAGCUCUGGCUGUGUAUGUGUAUGAGAAGCCAUUAGAGGCAAAGAAUAAGGUCUUGAACUAGUUGAAUAAGAGGUCUGAUGAAACUAGUAUGAACUUGAAUCAGAAACAAAGAGACUUUGAGAGAUUGGAUAGAUUGAGACUAAGAAAGGGGUAGAUUAAGGGAAUCUGAU
rnacentral:lncRNA from 1 species